ACUAGGAAAGGAAAGAGUCCCGGAAAGGGUACUCCCAGGGUGUUCUUGUUGUUUCUCCUUUUGCCUGAGUUGGUGUUUGUCGCAAAUUGGGCUGUGCUUUCGUGACUGCAACCACAUUGUUGAGUUCGCGUUUGUGGAGUUCGUGUCUGGCACUUAUCUUUUGAGGUCGAAGAAAACUAGGAAAAAAUCGAGUCCCGGAAAGGGUGGGACUCGAUUUUGGAAGUCCAUUGUGCUUGGCUUUAAGACUCCCAGGGAAGCCAUCGAAGGUACAUGAUUCCUAUUUGUUGUGAGAGUGAAAUGAUGGGCAGCAGCAGCAAGUGAGGUGAGUUUAUAUUUCCUUUUUUUU